GCCAGUGCUCGCUUCUGUGGCAUCUACUAAAAUUAGAACCAUACAGAUAUCAGCACGGCCCCUGCACAGGGAUGACAUGCAAACUUGUGAAGCGUUCCAGAUUUUG